GGCCACUUAGCUCAGUUGGUUAGAGCAGCGCAACUCUACAUGGUUAGAGCAACACAUUAAUGUGUUAGUCAUUGGUUCAAGUCCAAUAGUGGCCA
rnacentral:tRNA from 1 species